rnacentral:tRNA from 1 species
GCGCGAGUGGUGAAAUGGCAGACACGCAGGAUUUAGGUUCCUGUGCCUUCGGGCGUGCGGGUUCAAGUCCCGCCUUGCGCACAA